CGGAGGGUGCGAGCGUUGUCCGGAAUCACUGGGCGUAAAGGGCGCGUAGGCGGCUCGUUAAGGGUGCGGUGAAAGCCCGGGGCUUAACCCCGGGUCGGCCGUGCCGACUGAUGAGCUCGAGCACUGUAGAGGCAGGUGGAAUUCCGGGUGUAGCGGUGGAAUGCGUAGAGAUCCGGAAGAACACCAGUGGCGAAGGCGGCCUGCUGGGCAGUGGCUGACGCUGAGGCGCGACAGCGUGGGAGCAAACAGGAUUAGAUACCCUGGUAGUCCACGACCGUAAACGAUGGGCACUAGGUGCCUGGGGGAGCGACCCCCUGGGUGCCGGCGCUAACGCAUGAAGUGCCCCGCCUGGGGAGUACGGCCGCAAGGCUG
rnacentral:rRNA from 1 species